rnacentral:rRNA from 1 species
GACGAACGCUGGCGGCGUGCUUAACACAUGCAAGUCGAACGGCAAGGCACUAAUAUUGUGGGGUGACCGAGUGGCGAACGGGUGCGUGACACGUGAGUAACCUGCCCUUGAUUUUGGGAUAACUUCAGGAAACUGGGGCUAAUACCGGAUAGGAGACCAUGUUGCAUGGUAGGGGUUGGAACGUUGCGGCGGGUGUGGUUGGACGCGCGGGUUAUCAGUUAGCUGGUGGGGGAGUGGCUUACCCAGGCUUUGGCUGGUAGCCGGCCUGUGAGGGUGACCGGCCACAUUGGUACUGAGGGACGGACCAGUGGCGUACGGGAGGCAGCAGUGGGAAAUAUUGCACAAUGGGCCGAAGCCGGAGGCAGCAACGCCGCGUUCGUGAUGACGGCCUUCGGGGUAAAAACCGCUGUCGCCUGUGACGAAGCUGGUGUGACGGUAAUGAAUAAAGAAGCACCGGCUAACUACGUG